UUUAUUUCGUAUAGAACACUAAAAUUCGUUCCUUAUUCUUACUUUACAAUGGUUCCCGCAAUGUAUACCUUUUUUUAUAGCUUCACAUUCAAAAAUGAAAACGUAAAUUCUUAAAAUCAUUUGUAUAAUUUGCUCAUUUGUUGAUAAUUCGUAUGGUGAAAUAUAUUUUCGAAAAUAUUUCAACUAAAAUGCAGUCUCAAAAUUCUAAUGACAAUGAAAAUAUCAGGCAAUGAUCAGAUACGUUAUUUACCAUGUGGUAAUUAUCUUUCCUAUCAUUGUUUACACAAAUUGCUCUAUGAUUAAUGUUUAUUUGGGAAACCCUUUUCAACGUACACUGAAUAAUCUAAAACAAAAAAACCAAAUUAGUGUGGAUUUACUGACAGAAAAUAAAACUAAACUACCCGAAAACUCUUGGGUUAAAUUUCAUUGGACAAGUAAUGAAAUAUAUGGUCUUCCUUUAGAGGCAAAUCUUGGCUUAUCAACAUUUUUAAUCAAAAAGAAAAAAAAUGGAGGAGAAUUGUUUCAGCACCUACACAUAGUCGUUAACGAACGAAAGCAAGCUUUUUCUCACAAAGUAACAGUUUGUACGUCAUCAUCUUUUGAAAAUUUUUUGAACAAUUUAGACAAUCGUUAUACAUUAAUUAAAGAAUUAGCAUUGUAUUUGUUAAACACCGAUGUAAAAAAUAUUCAAGUACACGAUUUUACAAAAAGUUGUUUACGGUUUUCUUUUUUGCACGUUGAAAAUGAGAAAAGUUGUGAUAAAGAAAAAGUAAAUGAACUAUCAAAUAAACUUAAACCGGAGUUUGUAUCUGAGCUGAAGGCAAAAUUUUUGCAUUUCUUUAUAUCUGAUGCAAACAUAACUUUGGUAGGAGAAUGUCUAAGCAAAUCUCCUUUGAAAUGGUUAAAGUCAGCCACACCUUUUCUUUUGCUGAGCGCAAUAAUAUUUAUCCCUGUUGGUAUAUCAUGCUACGUUUGUAGGGCAGUUCGAUCACGAAAAAAUGCCUUACGCAUAAUGGCAGAUAAAAAAUUGAGAGAAGAACAAGCGGCUAUAGCUGAAGAAAUUAAAAGAUUCACACAAUUUUGUCAAUUACAUGAAGAAAAUAUAGAAAAUGAAGAGACAUUCACACCAAAAUGGAAUUGUUCAGUUAAAAAUAAUAAAAAAAAUUUUAUUGAAAACAUUUUAAAACCAAAUAGUCCAAAAAAAGAAUUUAUUCAGAGUUCUCACAUUUUGUCGAAUCCUAUUAUAAAAAAACAAACUAAGUUUUUAAACCCCAUAUCUAGUUACUUUCGCAUUUCCACUCCAGCUAUAAAAAAAAGAGAGCAAGACUUGAAGGCGAAGAAUUUGAAAGACAAAAAUUUAAAAAGACAAGCAUCCAUACGCAGCAAUAUGAAUGACAUGCAUUUGAAUUUAAUAAACUCGUCUCAGAAUUUAAGUUUACAGCUACCCAAUAGAAACUCAAGAGCAAGUUUACAUGAAACAAACUACUUGCUUAAAGUCGAAGAUGAAAAGUAUAAAAAGUCAGUUUCGUUUAAUGAGUUAUCUAAUUUGACUCAAAAAGAAUUGAAAAGUACAAGUUCGUUAAGUACAUACCGAAAAACGUCUCAAAAUUGCGAUGCUAUGGGCUCUACGCUUUCUUGUGUUAGUAUGGAUAAUGUUGAUUAUAAACGUGAUAAGUGUGUUGGAACUUCACCCGAAGAAUCUGUAAACAGAAGAAAGUCCAUUCUAACAAAUACAAUGGGUAACUUUCUUUCCGCCUCCAAAAGUGUGCUCUGUAGUCCAGUACAAACCGACAACACUUCUUUAUUUUUCUCUAGUACCCACUUACCUUCAUCAAGUACAAUUUCAACUCAAAUGUGUAACAGCCCAAAUUUUUUAAGUAUCGACGAAAAACAAUUUCAUGAAAAAGAUUUUUAUUUAAAAAAUACAAAGCUAAAGCAAAAUAAUGCCUAUUUAAGGCAUGAUGCUAGUUACCUAAUAAGCGAUCCUGGUUGUUUAGUAAAAGCUCCAGUUUUGAAUAAAAAACAACAUUUUGUAAAUUUUAUGAAAGUUUUAGCUACUAACAUGUCAUUUAUUGGUAAAAAACAAAUUUCUCAAACAAUAAGAAAAGCUUUAGUACCUAAAGCUACACUUGAUGCAACAACUAACACAUUCAUUUCCGAAAACGAACGAACAUAUUCAAGAUCGGCAACAAAUCUUUAUAGCUAUGUUUGUGAAACAUCUGAUAAAAGAAGUAACGAGUAUGAUAAAAGAAGCAACGAAGAAACCGUUAUUAAUGCUUGCUGUGGAUUACCCACAAAACAUUUUGAUUUCCAUCACGAUGCCAAAAAUAUUUAUCCUUCAAAUAAAUCAAACUUAACAUUAAAUAACUAUCUUUCGGAAAGAAAUUAUAGAAAAAUGUCAUCUAGUAGCUUAAAAGAAAACGAAUUCCUUGGCAGCAUACAUCAACAAUGUUAUGAAAAUGACUGCGACCAAAUGUGGCGCGAAAAAGUAAACAAUAAACAGCAACAAAAACGAUUUUCAGUCCUCUCUCAAGAUUUUGUUCGUGAAAAACGAAAAAGAUUUUCGCUUCAAAGCAAUCAGAGGUCAACAAGCGAAUCAGCAUUGGCAACUAAUGAGAGCAAUAAAGAUACUGUCAACAAAACGUACCAACCGAAUUUCAGCGAAAGUUUCUUAAUGAAAAAUAUAGAGUUUGAAUAUCCGCGUCAUAAAACAAGUAAGUCAAUAUUAACACCCCCCAGUCAUUUACCUCGUUUUAGUUACGAUACUCUAGAUGCUCAAGAUAACGAUUACCAAUUUGGUUCACCAUACUACCACUCAAGCAGUCUACACGAUUCGGAAAGUUCUGAACCAAGCUAUUCCUCUACAUGCACUCCAGUGAGCUCGGACACUCCCUUGCCUGGUCACUAUAAACAAGUUUCUCAUAGAACGUUAAGUGCAAAAGAUCGAAGAGAUUUAUUUAAAAUGCAACGCCUAAAAGUUUAUAGAAAUACAAAAAAUACAAGUCCAAUUAUAUAUGAAGAUAGUAUUGCUGGCGACGUAAGUUGCAACUCAAGUAUUUUACCAGGUUAUGGAGAUAAAAAUAAGUAUUCGUUUCAAAAAAGUUCAUGGCAAAAAUAUCGUCAUAAGUACGAGUCAAGAAGCACAGAAAGCAUUGGUACCUUAGGUAGAUAUUUGGAUCUUGGUUCAGAGUAUGAGCUAAAAUCAGAUGCUAUACCUUUAUACGAAAAAGAAUACGCUCGUUCAUCCAGUACUUCUUGGAAUAACGAAGAGCAUGAACCGUUUCAAAACUUAAAAAUGUUCAAAACAUGUUCAAGUUCAAUUCCUGGGAAAUUAGUUGUGCUUCAAUCCGAAAAAUAUCGGCCUAAACAUAAAAGUAUGGUUAUAACAAAUGCUGAGCAAAGCGAAUUUGUUUGACCAACAAAUUUAGUUAUUUAAUUUACAGAUAGUAAUUUUAAAUCUGUCAUAUUGAAACACUUAAUCGGAAUGAUUUACUUUCCAACAGAGAGAUCAACAACCCGUACAACGGAGAAAUCAUAACCCGUACGACGGAGAAAUCACAAUAACAAAAAAUUACUUGACUAAAAUUGUCUCAAAUAACAAAAAAAAACACCAUAAAGUGAUAUUAAAGAAAUUUAUUUAUAUAAUGUUUUAAUAUUUAAUAUUAGUUUCAGUAUUCUAGAUGCAAAAGAUGUUUUAUGCUAUUUUUAUUCUACUAUUUGCAAAAUUAGCAUUAUCCUUUGAAGACCCUUCACUUUGCUGUAAAGAUGGUUAUUCCAAAGGAGCUGAAAUUUUACUUACUGAUGUUACAUGUGAACCUGAUUCAUCAGUGGAAAAAAAGUUUUCUGGAAUAAAUACUAUAAUGUGUCGUGGAUUUUUCCAACAAUGUUGCACAAUAACAGCGCAACAAAACUUCUGCCAAAUGGGUGAAAAACUAGC